GGGCCCGCACAAGCGGUGGAGCAUGUGGUUUAAUUCGAUGAUACGCGAGGAACCUUACCAGGGUUUAAAUGGGAAUUGACAGAUGCAGAAAUGUGUCCUUCUUCGGACAAUUUUCAAGGUGCUGCAUGGUUGUCGUCAGCUCGUGCUGUGAAGUGUCGGGUUAAGUCCCAUAACGAGCGCAACCCUAUUUCUAGUUGCCAGCAGUUCGGCUGGGCACUCUAUGGAAACUGCCCGUGAUAAGCGGGAGGAAGGUGUGGAUGACGUCAAGUCCUCAUGGCCUUUAUGCCCAGGGCUGCACACGUGCUACAAUGGGACGUACAAAGGGAAG
rnacentral:rRNA from 1 species